GACGAACGCUGGCUGCGUGCUUAACACAUGCAAGUCGAACGCUGAAGCCAGAAGCUUGCUUCUGGUGGAUGAGUGGCGAACGGGUGAGUAACACGUGAGUAACCUGCCCCUGAUUUCGUGAUAAGCCUGGGAAACUGGGUCUAAUACCGGAUACGACCACCGAACGCUUGUUCGGUGGUGGAAAGUUCUUCGAUCAGGGAUGGGCUCGCGGCCUAUCAGCUUGUUGGUGGGGUAAUGGCCUACCAAGGCGACGACGGGUAGCCGGCCUGAGAGGGCGACCGGCCACACUGGGACUGAGACACGGCCCAGACUCCUACGGGAGGCAGCAGUGGGGAAUAUUGCACAAUGGGGGAAACCCUGAUGCAGCGACGCAGCGUGCGGGAUGACGGCCUUCGGGUUGUAAACCGCUUUCAGCAGGGAAGAAGCGAAAGUGACGGUACCUGCAGAAGAAGUACCGGCUAACUACGUGCCAGCCGCCGCCGUAA
rnacentral:rRNA from 1 species